rnacentral:rRNA from 1 species
GACGAACGCUGGCGGCGUGCUUAACACAUGCAAGUCGAACGGAAAGGCCCUGCUUUUGUGGGGUGCUCGAUUGGCGAACGGGUGAGUAACACGUGAGUAACCUGCCCUUGACUUUGGGAUAACUUCAGGAAACUGGGGCUAAUACCGGAUAGGAGCUCCUGCUGCAUGGUGGGGGUUGGAAAGUGUCGGCGGUUGGGGAUGGACUCGCGGCUUAUCAGCUUGUUGGUGGGGUAGUGGCUUACCAAGGCUUUGACGGGUAGCCGGCCUGAGAGGGUGACCGGCCACAUUGGGACUGAGAUACGGACCAGACUCCUACGGGAGGCAGCAGUGGGGAAUAUUGCACAAUGGGCGGAAGCCUGAUGCAGCAACGCCGCGUGCGGGAUGACGGCCUUCGGGUUGUAAACCGCUUUCGCCUGUGACGAAGCGUGAGUGACGGUAAUGGGUAAAGAAGCACCGGCUAACUACGUG